UACGAAGGGGGCUAGCGUUGCUCGGAAUCACUGGGCGUAAAGCGCACGUAGGCGGCUUUUUAAGUCAGAGGUGAAAUCCUGGAGCUCAACUCCAGAACUGCCUUUGAUACUGGAGAGCUUGAGUCCGGGAGAGGUGAGUGGAACUGCGAGUGUAGAGGUGAAAUUCGUAGAUAUUCGCAAGAACACCAGUGGCGAAGGCGGCUCACUGGCCCGGUACUGACGCUGAGGCACGAAGGCCAGGGAGCGAACG
rnacentral:rRNA from 1 species